GACGAACGCUGGCGGCGUGCUUAACACAUGCAAGUCGAACGGAAAGGCCCUGCUUUUGUGGGGUGCUCGAGUGGCGAACGGGUGAGUAACACGUGAGUAACCUGCCCUUGACUUUGGGAUAACUUCAGGAAACUGGGGCUAAUACCGGAUAGGAGCUCCUGCUGCAUGGUGGGGGUUGGAAAGUUUCGGCGGUUGGGGAUGGACUCGCGGCUUAUCAGCUUGUUGGUGGGGUAGUGGCUUACCAAGGCUUUGACGGGUAGCCGGCCUGAGAGGGUGACCGGCCACAUUGGGACUGAGAGACGGCCCAGACUCCUACGGGAGGCAGCAGUGGGGAAUAUUGCACAAUGGGCGGAAGCCUGAUGCAGCAACGCCGCGUGCGGGAUGACGGCCUUCGGGGUGUAAACCGCUUUCGCCUGUGACGAAGCGUGAGUGGCGGUAAUGGGUAAAGAAGCACCGGCUAACUACG
rnacentral:rRNA from 1 species